rnacentral:lncRNA from 1 species
GGGCAUUUUUGUAAUUUCGUUUUUUAGAGAAAUUUAUGUAAUUAACUUAAAAUAAAUACCCAUCAUCUUCAAAAGUUGCAGACCACCACCGUUUUUUAGGGGAUGUGAAAGAAGUCGCCUUCAUACAUACUAGUGACCCGACAUAUACAAGAAGCUGCAAGAUGGUCAUGGAAUCUGCUGAUUCACUUGGAAAUAUUCUGGGAAGCACUAGCCAUACCAUUGAUGAGCGUAAGGUGGCCGUUGAGCGUUACCUUGGGUAAUAACUAAUAAGUAGGGAGGCACACACACCCGUGGCUAUUUCUCAAGGGAAAACAAAUCGUGAGAGUGACUGGGCUUGACGUUACCAUGAAUCAAUGCGAUGUGUAUAGGGAGCUUGAGAAUGCCUUUGCUAACUGUGGAUCAUGUACGACAGGGUAAUCCGGCGGCGAUUACGGUUCGAUUACGGCUGUUACAAGUUGUUUCGAACACACAAACGACUCAUCCGGCGGCGAUUUGUAACAAUUUCAGGCGAAUACGUUCGAUAACCGGCGGCGAUACGGAUGUUCUAAGUUGUUGCGGAGGCGAUUACGAUCGAUUACGGCGGCGAUUACAGUUGUUCUAAGUUGUUGAGGAGUAUAAUGACUACAAAUGAAAUCGGUGAAUCGGAUGACAAACGUGAAACCAGAUAGGGUAGAUCGAAGGGCAUCCUGAGGAAGAAGAUUACAGGUACCAAAUUAUACAUAAAUUUUGAGGAAGAAGACUACAUGUAACAAAUUAUAUACAUAGAUUUAUUGUAGUUUUUAGUUUACACAUGUAAUAUGUAUAGCAACUUGAAAUUGAAACACAUAUUUGUACAAUUACAACAAAUUAGGGCAUAUUUCACCCGAAUAACACAUUUUUAGGUCAAUUCUGAAAAAUAAUAUG